CAGUAGCCGCGGUAACACGGAGGGUGCAAGCGUUAUCCGGAUUUACUGGGUUUAAAGGGUGCGUAGGCGGACUUGUAAGUCCGAGGUGAAAUCUCUGAGCUUAACUCGGAAACUGCCUUGGAUACUAUAGGUCUUGAAUCUCGUUGAGGUUUGCGGAAUAUGUCAUGUAGCGGUGAAAUGCUUAGAUAUGACAUAGAACACCUAUUGCGAAGGCAGCAGGCUAAACGAGUAUUGACGCUGAUGCACGAAAGCGUGGGGAUCAAACAGGAUUAGAUACCCGCGUAGUCCCUUUCUCUUAUAC
rnacentral:rRNA from 1 species